AUUUCGCAAGAGGGAUAGCAGCGGCAUCCUGCGUAGCAGAUACAGCGUAUAGCCCGGCCCGGA
rnacentral:misc_RNA from 1 species